rfam:marine gamma proteobacterium HTCC2207 scf_1099215844477 genomic scaffold, whole genome shotgun sequence.
CCCUUCCUGGGGUGUGCGCCAGUCAAGAAGUCCCUGAGCCGAUAAUUAUUACCCGGUUUCUCUCCGUCAAUGUUGUUGUGCACUUCCGUGCGUCGGAAAGCCUGAUAUAUUGCGAGGGCAGCCACCUUGAACUUUUCGGUUCGAGGCCACGUUGACAGCGGCACUCUGGGGUUUAU